rnacentral:rRNA from 1 species
UACGUAGGGUGCGAGCGUUAAUCGGAAUUACUGGGCGUAAAGCGUGCGCAGGCGGUUUUGUAAGCCAGAUGUGAAAGCCCCGGGCUCAACCUGGGAAUGGCAUUUGGGACUGCAAGGCUUGAGUGCGGCAGAGGAGACUGGAAUUCCUGGUGUAGCAGUGAAAUGCGUAGAUAUCAGGAGGAAUACCGAUGGCGAAGGCAGGUCUCUGGGCCUGUCCUGACGCUGAGGCGCGAAAGCUAGGGGAGCGAACAGG